CCCUUAGAUGUUCUGGGCCGCACGCGCGCUACACUGACGAAUGCAACGAGCUUAUAACCUUGGCCGAAAGGUCUGGGUAAUCUCCAAAUUUCGUCGUGAUGGGGAUAGAUUAUUGCAAUUAUUAAUCUUCAACGAGGAGUGCCUAGUAAGCGCAAGUCAUCAGCUUGCGUUGAUUACGUCCCUGCCCUUUGUACACACCGCCCGUCGCUCCUACCGAUUGAAUGGUCCGGUGAAGCGUUCGGACCGUGGCCUUUGGUCGGUUCGCCGUCUGUUGGCUGCGGGAAGUUCGUUAAACCUUAUCAUUUAGAGGAAGGAGAAGUCGUAACA
rnacentral:rRNA from 1 species